rnacentral:rRNA from 1 species
UACGUAGGGUGCAAGCGUUGUCCGGAAUUAUUGGGCGUAAAGAGCUCGUAGGUGGCCUGUCGCGUCGGCUGUGAAAACUCGAGGCUCAACCUCGAGACGUCGGUUGAAACCGUUUGGCUAGAGUCCGGAAGAGGAGAGUGGAAUUCCCGGUGUAGCGGUGAAAUGCGCAGAUAUCGGGAAGAACCCCCGUGGCGAAGGCGGCUCUCUGGGACGGUACUGACGCUGAGACGCGAAAGCGUGGGGAGCGAGCAGG